rnacentral:rRNA from 1 species
AACGAACGCUGGCGGCAGGCUUAACACAUGCAAGUCGAAGGUGAAGCGGGGCUUCGGCCCCGUGGAAACUGGCGCACGGGUGAGUAACGCGUGGGAAUCUGCCCUGGGGUGGGGAAUAACCGCUGGAAACGGCGGCUAAUACCGCAUACGCCUUACGAGGGAAAGCUUUAGCGCCCUGGGAGGAGCCCGCGUCGGAUUAGCUUGUUGGUGGGGUAACGGCCUACCAAGGCUACGAUCCGUAGCUGGUCUGAGAGGAUGAUCAGCCACACUGGGACUGAGACACGGCCCAGACUCCUACGGGAGGCAGCAGUGGGGAAUAUUGGACAAUGGGGGAAACCCUGAUCCAGCCAUGCCGCGUGCGUGAAGAAGGCCUUAGGGUUGUAAAGCGCUUUCGGCGGGGAAGAUGAUGACGGUACCCGCAGAAGAAGCCCCGGCUAACUCCGUG